GUCCCCCUUGUGGUCGGUGUACAGGUGGUGCAUGGCUGUCGUCAGCUCGUGUCGUGAGAUGUUGGGUUAAGUCCCGCAACGAGCGCAACCCUUGUCCCGUGUUGCCAGCAGGCCCUUGUGGUGCUGGGGACUCACGGGAGACCGCCGGGGUCAACUCGGAGGAAGGUGGGGACGACGUCAAGUCAUCAUGCCCCUUAUGUCUUGGGCUGCACACGUGCUACAAUGGCCGGUACAAUGAGCUGCGAUACCGCGAGGUGGAGCGAAUCUCAAAAAGCCGGUCUCAGUUCGGAUUGGGGUCUGCAACUCGACCCCAUGAAGUCGGAGUCGCUAGUAAUCGCAGAUCAGCAUUGCUGCGGUGAAUACGUUCCCGGGUCUUGUACACAC
rnacentral:rRNA from 1 species